rnacentral:rRNA from 1 species
UACGAAGGGGGCUAGCGUUGCUCGGAAUCACUGGGCGUAAAGCGCACGUAGGCGGCUUGUUAAGUCAGGGGUGAAAUCCUGGAGCUCAACUCCAGAACUGCCUUUGAUACUGGCGAGCUUGAGUUCGGGAGAGGUGAGUGGAACUGCGAGUGUAGAGGUGAAAUUCGUAGAUAUUCGCAAGAACACCAGUGGCGAAGGCGGCUCACUGGCCCGAUACUGACGCUGAGGUGCGAAAGCAUGGGGAGCGAACAGG